rnacentral:rRNA from 1 species
UACGUAGGGUGCAAGCGUUAUCCGGAAUUAUUGGGCGUAAAGAGCUCGUAGGCGGUUUGUUGCGUCGGCUGUGAAAUCCCUCGGCUCAACCGGGGAACUGCGUCCGAUACUGGCGAGGCUUGAAUCCGGGAGAGGGAUGUGGAAUUCCAGGUGUAGCGGUGAAAUGCGUAGAUAUCUGGAGGAACACCGGUGGCGAAGGCGGCAUCCUGGACCAACACUGACACUGAUGAGCGAAAGCCAGGGGAGCAAACGGG